rnacentral:rRNA from 1 species
CGCCUGUUUUAUCAAAAACAUAGUUUAAGGAAAUAAUCUUAAAUGUAUUCUGCCCAGUGAUUUUUUUUUAAAUGGCCGCAGUACCUUGACUGUGCUAAGGUAGCAUAAUCAAUUGGCUUCUAAUUAAAGUCUGGAAUGAAAGGAAAAAUGAGGUAAUUCUGUCUUAAAGAAUUUUUUUUGAAUUUAUUUAAAUGAUGAAAAUAUCAUUUUUUAGAAAAAAGACGAGAAGACCCUUAGAGUUUUCAAUUUUUUUUUGUUGGGGCGACAAGUAAACAAUUAAACUUUACCAAUAUUAUAAAUCGAUUUUUUAUAAGAAUAAUUAAACUACCUUAGGGAUAACAGCAUUAUAUAUUUUUUAUGAUUGUGACCUCGAUGUUGGACUAGGAACUUUAUGGCUAGCCGUCAAAAAAGAUUUGUUCUGUUCGAACAAUAUUAUCCUACGUGAUCUGAGUUCAGACCGG